rnacentral:rRNA from 1 species
AUUGAACGCUUGCGGCAGGCCUAACACAUGCAAGUCGAGCGGAGCGGCGGACGGGUGAGUAAUGCCUAGGAAUCUGCCUGGUAGUGGGGGAUAACGUACAGAAACGGGCGCUAAUACCGCAUACUAUCAGAUGAGCCUAGGGCGGAUUAGCGUGUUGGUGGGUUAAAGGCCUACCAAGGCGACUAUACGUAACUGGUCUUCGAGGAUGAUCAGUCACACUGGAACUGAGACACGGUCCAGACUCCUACGGGAGGAAGCAGUGGGGAAUAUUGGACCAGGGGCGAAAGCCGGAUCCAGCCAUGCCGCGUGUGUGAAGAAGGUCUUCGGAUUGUAAAGCACUUUAAGUUGGGAGGCGUUACCAACAGAAUAAGCACCGGCUAACUUCGUGCCAGCAGCCGCGGUAAUUC